rnacentral:rRNA from 1 species
GAUGAACGCUGGCGGCGUGCCUAAUACAUGCAAGUCGAGCGAACGGACGAGAAGCUUGCUUCUCUGAUGUUAGCGGCGGACGGGUGAGUAACACGUGGAUAACCUACCUAUAAGACUGGGAUAACUUCGGGAAACCGGAGCUAAUACCGGAUAAUAUUUUGAACCGCAUGGUUCAAAAGUGAAAGACGGUCUUGCUGUCACCUAUAGAUGGAUCCGCGCUGCAUUAGCUAGUUGGUAAGGUAACGGCUUACCAAGGCAACGAUGCAUAGCCGACCUGAGAGGGUGAUCGGCCACACUGGAACUGAGACACGGUCCAGACUCCUACGGGAGGCAGCAGUAGGGAAUCUUCUGCAAUGGGCGAAAGCCUGACGGAGCAACGCCGCGUGAGUGAUGAAGGUCUUCGGAUCGUAAACCUCUGUUAUUAGGGAAGAACAUAUGUGUAAGUAACUGUGCACAUCUUGACGGUACCUAAUCAGAAAGCCACGGCUAACUACGUG